CCUGAUUGAUUUUGGUCGCCAACGAGUGGCGGACGGGUGAGUAACACGUAGGUAACCUGCCCAGAAGCGGGGGACAACAUUUGGAAACAGAUGCUAAUACCGCAUAACAGCGUUGUUCGCAUGAACAACGCUUAAAAGAUGGCUUCUCGCUAUCACUUCUGGAUGGACCUGCGGUGCAUUAGCUUGUUGGUGGGGUAACGGCCUACCAAGGCGAUGAUGCAUAGCCGAGUUGAGAGACUGAUCGGCCACAAUGGGACUGAGACACGGCCCAUACUCCUACGGGAGGCAGCAGUAGGGAAUCUUCCACAAUGGGCGCAAGCCUGAUGGAGCAACACCGCGUGAGUGAAGAAGGGUUUCGGCUCGUAAAGCUCUGUUGUUAAAGAAGAACACGUAUGAGAGUAACUGUUCAUACGUUGACGGUAUUUAACCAGAAAGUCACGGCUAACUACGUGCCAGCAGCCGCGGUAAUACGUAGGUGGCAAGCGUUAUCCGGAUUUAUUGGGCGUAAAGAGAGUGCAGGCGGUUUUCUAAGUCUGAUGUGAAAGCCUUCGGCUUAACCGGAGAAGUGCAUCGGAAACUGGAUAACUUGAGUGCAGAAGAGGGUAGUGGAACUCCAUGUGUAGCGGUGGAAUGCGUAGAUAUAUGGAAGAACACCAGUGGCGAAGGCGGCUACCUGGUCUGCAACUGACGCUGAGACUCGAAAGCAUGGGUAGCGAACAGGAUUAGAUACCCUGGUAGUCCAUGCCGUAAACGAUGAGUGCUAGGUGUUGGAGGGUUUCCGCCCUUCAGUGCCGGAGCUAACGCAUUAAGCACUCCGCCUGGGGAGUACGACCGCAAGGUUGAAACUCAAAGGAAUUGACGGGGGCCCGCACAAGCGGUGGAGCAUGUGGUUUAAUUCGAAGCUACGCGAAGAACCUUACCAGGUCUUGACAUCUUGCGCCAACCCUAGAGAUAGGGCGUUUCCUUCGGGAACGCAAUGACAGGUGGUGCAUGGUCGUCGUCAGCUCGUGUCGUGAGAUGUUGGGUUAAGUCCCGCAACGAGCGCAACCCUUGUUACUAGUUGCCAGCAUUAAGUUGGGCACUCUAGUGAGACUGCCGGUGACAAACCGGAGGAAGGUGGGGACGACGUCAGAUCAUCAUGCCCCUUAUGACCUGGGCUACACACGUGCUACAAUGGACGGUACAACGAGUCGCGAACUCGCGAGGGCAAGCAAAUCUCUUAAAACCGUUCUCAGUUCGGACUGCAGGCUGCAACUCGCCUGCACGAAGUCGGAAUCGCUAGUAAUCGCGGAUCAGCAUGCCGCGGUGAAUACGUUCCCGGGCCUUGUACACACCGCCCGUCACACCAUGAGAGUUUGUAAC
rnacentral:rRNA from 2 species